rnacentral:miRNA from 1 species
GGAGGAUAGCUUGAGCCUGGGAGUUGGAGGUUGCAGUGAGCUGGGAUCACGCCACUGCCCUCCAGUCUGGAAACAGAGUGGAGGCCAUUCUC